rnacentral:rRNA from 1 species
UACGUAGGAUGCAAGCGUUGUCCGGAUUUAUUGGGUUUAAAGGGUGCGUAGGCGGCCUAUUAAGUUAGUGGUGAAAACGUUCGGCUUAACCGGAUACCCGCCAUUGAUACUGAUAGACUUGAGUGCGACAGAGGGUGUUGGAAUGUGUGGUGUAGCGGUGAAAUGCUUAGAUAUCACGCAGAACACCAAUUGCGAAGGCAGAUGCCUAUGUCGUAACUGACGCUGAGGCACGACAGCGUAGGGAGCUAACAGG